CUUCAAAAAAGUGACGGUACUAAAAGUUUAGUAGAAAAACAACAAGAAAGGAUACUUGCAUGGGUGAAAUAUGUACGUGUCAUCGUUUGCAAAAUAGUUAGUAACGUUAGUAACGUUGUAAAAAAAUAUAUCAUAAAGAAAAUAUUGUCUUCCUUGGUGGUCGCCCAAGAGAGGUGGAGCUUGGACCCAAGCCAACGUUACCCAUCAUAUCCCAGGACGCCUCACAGAGCACACCUCACACUAUUUAUUAACACCUCGCUUGUCUUUGCUCUGUGAGCCACAUAUAGAAGAAUAAUGUGAGGAUUGAU